CACACUCUGAAGCAACUCAGACUUUUCAAGCUUCCAGGCUUCCACUCCUGCCAGCGCUUCUCCCCAUGCCUGCAUUAUGUUCCGCAGCAUCUUUAGGAACCCAGGAGACAGCCAUCCAGGAGCUACUGUCAAUCCGUGACUGUGGAUAGGAAGCACGUGUGGAUACUUUACAGGGUCAGUGCAAUUUUAAGGAAAAUAUGAAGAAAGAAGAGAUCUUGUCCAAUUUGGGAAUGAAUUAUUGACAGAGUCAAGACAAUGAGAAAGUCUAUGGAAGGCCAGCUGACAGAGUGUGGCUGCACCGGCUUCAGGAAUGAUGCAAAGCUAAGGGACUACGGAGAGAUGUACUUGUUUAAUCUGACACUUGGACCAGCUACCCAAAUUACAUUCGUUUUCUAAAACUAUUUUCAGGAGAUCAAGGCACUAGGGGCAGUUUUACAAGUGGCCAGAGUAGAAGGCCACCAGGAGGAUGCCAUUUAAGGGACCCAAGGAAGACCCCCUUUUCCAAAUCGCUCCCAGCCCAGGAGUCAUUGUUCAUCAAUGAUAGGUAAUUCAUUAUUUGGUUCUUACAUACGUGAGAAAGACACAUAGAACAUCAAGCACGAAAGGAACCUUAAAGGUCAACCUUCUACUCAGUGCAGGUUAUCUCUUCAAGAGUAUCCUGAGAUACGUUUGGUCACAACUUGCUGAAAUAAGUAGUGAUGAGGAGCACUUUAGCUCACAAGGUAGUUCCUUCUAGUUCUGAACAGCUCUAGCCAUUCAAAAGUUUUUCUUAUUCCAAUUUCUAUCUACCAGAACUGGUUCUGCCCUCAGGCUGUAAGGAAAACAAGUCUAAACUAUCUUCCAACUUCUUCAGUAUUUAAAAACAGCUGUCAUGUCCAACUGAGUCUCCUCUUCUUCAAACUAAACAAAUCCUGUUUCUACACCUAUUCCUUACCUUCAGGAUGCCUCAGUUAAAAUGGCAAAUACCUGGGGUAAACACUCGCCAUUUCUGGAAAGAAAAAGAGGUAGGAAGAGUCAUACAUUUGAUCCAAAAGAAAGUAAGGGAGAUCAGAGGAAAGGUGAUCGAAAUAACAGCACUUGACUUACUUUUCAAUUUCCAAAGACCAACCAGGCUCGCACAAUCUUUCAUAUAAUUUAUUCAAGAUUUAUACCUUCCUAAUUACCAAGAACUUCUUGACACAAUAUAUUAACAUCAAGGAGAUUUCCACAAGACUCGAAUGAGUGAGAAAACCCACUGAACAUGCAAACUGAAUCAAUUAAUCGAUCUGUUUAUUUCACACAUACAAAAGGCCCUAUGCAUUAAAGAUUGAGAUCUUACUUUUUAAGAUUAAUAUUAUUAAAAUAAAAGUGCGUUCUAUGGAAGGCAUCUAGAGAGGCAUCAUUACUGAAGUUCAACAUAGACAUGCUUCUUGAAACAGCAAAUUCCAUUUCCCAGCUCCCCCUGCCCCCCACCCACUCUAUCCAGUAGAAAUGCUAACUGGGGAAUGGCGUCCACUGGUCAGAAGAAUCACCCUGAGGAACACAGCAAUGCUGAGAUUCAAAGAAAUGCAACAUGUGUUGCAUCAUAAAUCUGGAUAUGAAGAAAGAUCUGAUUCUGGCCAGAUAUUUACUUUUGAGAUAAUAAAUAAUGUUGCAAGACUUCCUCCCCACAGAGUGAAAUCCUUUCUUUUCUACUCCCACGGCAUGAAGAUUGCUUUGAGUAUUUGUUUUUUCAGCUGAUACAUGCAGAAAGCUGGGAGCUAUUUUUUUCUUUAAAAUGUUAGAAAGAAACUUUUUUUCCUUAUCCUAUGUGACUGGCACUUUAUGAAAUACUGUUAAAGCCUCAGUCAAUACAUCCUAUAGGACUAGAGGAGAAAUAGCAAAAUGUUUUAGCUCACAAAAUCUCCGCAGCCUGCUAAGCAAGGCAAAGAAUCUCAUUAAGGAGAAAGAAGACAGAGGUUCCUAUCUAUGGCAGAGAAGUAAUCUUGAUAACAAUAAUUGACACAGUUUGAAUAUUUAAUAUGUCAAGCAUUGCUCUAAGCACUUUAUGUGGAUUAACUCAUUUAGCUCUCAGAAUAGCCCUAGAGGUAAAUACUGUUCUUAUCGCAUUUGACAAAUGGUAAUAGAGAAGUUAAGCAACUUGCCCAAGGUCACACAAAAGCAAGUAAGUGACAGUAUCAGGAUUUAAACUCUGGAGGUUGGGUCUAUGCUAUUUCCAUUUUUCUAUAUUGUCUCCAUGUGUGAUAUGUAUGACGAGUCACAUGAAAGUAAUUUUGUUUUAAUGCCAGCCAACUGUAUCAAUGACCUUAAACUUCUUUCUGCAUGGCCAGAGUGUUCCAGACUGGCUUUUAAUUCUACCCAGCACCAUACUGGUCCAGGGUCCACACAGAGAUUCUUUAUUACCAGUGGGUGGCAAUAUUGUCACAUGGAGCCAUCUGAGUGCAGUCCUGGCAUCCUCCCUGAAAGUGGAAAGGCCUCACCAACUUACAGAUAGGUCAUUCCAGGCAGCCCUCAAAAUGCAUUUUUCUACCGUCCCCAAAGCACUCAGGAUAAUCCUGCCAGUGAAGAGAUGGAUCUAAUUAGAAGAAUGCCCAGGAAACUAUUCAUUCAAGUGAUUCUCCCUCUGUCCUGCAGUAAUAUCCCUGGUAUAUCGCAAUCAUAAGUUAUACACUUGUCUUCCCACUAGGACGUGUCUCUCUUAGGGACAGAGACUCUACAACCUUUGAACCUGCAGUUUCAUUCAUCUAUUAUAAAGGUUGAGUAAAUGGAUGAAUGAUUACACUGCAGUUCUUCAGAAGUAAUCGACUCCACUCCAAGGAACACUCUAAGAAAAAUCUGCAGACUUCUCUGUAGUUGACCAAAAAUGAAUCCAGACUCUACUAGUGACUCUACUGUGGGUUCAGCCACCCAAGGAUCCUCAGAAUAGAAUGAAACAAAGGAAGCCUCUCAAGACCAUCCUGGCCUGGUCUCUUGAAAUUACAAAACUAAAUCUGUCCUUACAGUAGUCUGGCUCUUACACAAAACAGUCACAACUUAAGGAGAACAAAUGUCAAGCUGACCUCUGGGUAAUGUCAAUGAAGAGAGCCCAAUAACUGGUGCACUCAAGGGCUUCCCCGAGGAACUCCCCAAUAACUCAAGGCAGAGCCACUGUGUGAAGCUCUAGGAAAGGGGCCCACAUUUGUGCAAAUUCUGAGAAUCUUUGAAGAAGAUCAUGUAGUCAAAAACAUUUCUAGCAACUUGUCAUAUAUCUGAAAUCCUAAUGUUAAAAAGCUAGGCCCUGAGGAUAAGUUAGAUAAUUUAUGAUACAUCUUGAAACCUGUUAAGAUUUUAACAACAAAAAAUGAGGAAGAUAACAUCUAUCCUUCCAAUUUUCAGGUAAAAAUUAAUAAAAAUUUUAAAUCGUA